UAAGAGUAAUUGUGCGAGAGUUGCACGUGUGUGUGUGUGGGGUGGGAGCAUGGGAUUACUCCCCAUGCCAAUAAUUUUCCCCAGGAGACUACUUUCUCCCAUUUCUCUUUUCUCACUCUCUCGGCACUCUCUCUCCUCCUCCUCUCCUCCGAAAAACUCCCUCCUCUCUUCUCUCUUCGAUUUCAUCUACCUAGGGGGUGAUUCCGGAUAGGCCCGAGAAUUAAAGUUGCUAUACGAAGCAUGGGCUUUCCGAAUAUCCAAGAAAAAUCAUGAUCGGACCGCGUGGGAGCUUGGUUGACUUGGUCAAAGGUUCGGGUUUUGCUCAAAACCCUUGAGGUACAAAAAUAAGGAAGUUGGCAUGGCGUGCAUAUCGUGCUUAUUGAUCAUGUCUUUCAAAGGUAUAAAAGAGGCGAUUAUUUGCAUUUGAUUCGAAAGGAGUAUUUUUGGAAAGACAUUUGUUAGAACUGUAAUAUUAUUUUCUUCGGACAUUGGUAUUUCGAUAACUUGGGGCCUCGAGCCAGGGAUGUACUCAUUGAAUUUUAUUUGAGAACAGUGAACAGAAAGGUCUUUUGGGGUAUUAUUUGUAUUACAGUGAGGACUUUAUUUAUUAAAAGUGUUUAUUAUUUAUGUCGAAAA